rnacentral:rRNA from 1 species
GAACUUAAUAAUUUGACGGUACUUAAUAUCCUAAAGGAGUCUGUAAUUUAAUCGUCAACACACGCUUUAUCUUACUUUUCAAAAUUUGUAUACCUCCGUUUUAGAUCCUAUUCAAAAUAAUCUAAAACUUCAUAAAAAUCUCACAUUUAUAAAUCAGGUCAAGGUGCAGUUUUUAAAGUUAUUAUGGUCUACAAUCAAAAAUUAAAGAUAUGAAUUAAAUUCUGAAAUAAAAUUAUGAAAGUGAAUUUAUAAGUAAAAUAAGAUUAAUAUAUUUAUUUGAAAAUUUUAAGUAUGUACACAUCG